rnacentral:rRNA from 1 species
UCCCCUUUGGGGCCGGUUCACAGGUGGUGCAUGGUUGUCGUCAGCUCGUGUCGUGAGAUGUUGGGUUAAGUCCCGCAACGAGCGCAACCCUCGUUCCAUGUUGCCAGCGCGUAAUGGCGGGGACUCAUGGGAGACUGCCGGGGUCAACUCGGAGGAAGGUGGGGACGACGUCAAAUCAUCAUGCCCCUUAUGUCUUGGGCUUCACGCAUGCUACAAUGGCCGGUACAAAGGGUUGCGAUACUGUGAGGUGGAGCUAAUCCCAAAAAGCCGGUCUCAGUUCGGAUUGGGGUCUGCAACUCGACCCCAUGAAGUCGGAGUCGCUAGUAAUCGCAGAUCAGCAACGCUGCGGUGAAUACGUUCCCGGGUCUUGU